rnacentral:lncRNA from 1 species
UGAAACAGACAGCAAGUUAGAGCAAAUGGAGCAAUAUUUAGUGCUAAGCCUUAGACCCAGGGGAGGGUAAUCACCAACACGGGCCAAGCCGUAAUGACUUGGUACACCCAGAGAAGGCUGGGCUGCAGCCAGGCAGAUAACCUAAGGGACUGCUGCUGUUCUCUCCCGGCACACACACAUGCUCAUCACUCAGCGCCUGGCGAGAUCAGGGCUGGAGUGACACAGGCAUGCAUCCAAUACCUGAUCCAGAAAUAGGCCCUGGCUGCAGGCACAGCAAGUAAACAAACGUCCCGCCAGCUGUGGCCGAGGUGCACCCUUCCAAGCAGACCUGCCCACCAGGACCAUUGCUGGAAGACGGAAGCCCUGGAGCCUCUCCCUGGCCCUGUUUUGGAAGGAGUCCUCCAAGGCUGAGAACAGCCCCAGCCACAUGAAGCAGAACAAGUAGAAUCAUGUAUGGCAGAUCGUAUUUUCCAAAGAUGGCCAAAUCAGUGUAUCCCAUCCCACUCAUUCAUGUUCCAGUGUGAUGUGGACACUCCUCCCCUGAGAUCUUCGGUCAAUAUUCCCUCCCUUUGAACCUGGGCAAACCUAUGUAACUGCCUCGCUAAUAGAGUACAGCAUAAAUAAUGGGACUUCUGAGGCAAGGUCAUAAAAGCACUCCACCUGGGGUCUCUCUCUCUCUCUCAGCAUGCUCCUUGGUAGUUGUGAGCCGGCAUGUAAGAAGUCGGCCACAGAGAGGUAGAGAAGCCCAGGGAGUCCCAGCUGUUUGAGUCUUCCCACCCCAGGCAUCAGACAUAUAAGUAAGUAAUUCAAAUGAUUUCAUCCCCCAGUUUUUAAGCUGUCCCAGGUGACACCAAGUGGUACAAAGACAAGCUGUCCCUGCAAAGCCCUGCAGAUUCAAUAAAUGUCAUGGUUUAAACCACUAAGUUUUGGGUUGAUUUGUUACUCAGCAAUAGAUAACCAAUGCACCAUAAGCUAAGCUUCAGGUUUUAAGUAGCUAAUUUUUAAGUAUUUUAUUUUGCAGCCCCCUCUAGUCUGCAACGGUUGCAGAAUUUAAUACUUAUGCUGGCUACAGUAGGGAGAGGGGCAAAAUUGGACACAGGAGACCAGCUGUGAGGUGGUUGCAGUUGUCUAAGAAAGAGAUGAUAGUACUUGAGGACUUUUUCAACUUAGGAUGUAGAAUACUGCAAGAAAAUGUCCCUUCCGUCCUAACAAUGUGAAAAAGCAGGUACAAAAUCAUAACUUUUCUUGAGCCCAUCAGAAAGCCAAGGCCACAAGGCAACCAAAUAAAGGAGAGAUAGUGUUAGGGGAGCUGAGUUCAUAGAAAUGAAUAGGAGUGAGAGGAAAUAGAAGGAGAGAUAGUGACCCAUCAACUGUUUCAACUUUGGCAAAGAUGUGGCUGUCUUACAAGUGGGUAAGAAAAAGACAAUAAAAAUGUUAACAAAUUUGUAAAGUCCACAUGUGGCCUAGCAUAUCAGUUUAGAAUAGCUGAAUAGGAUUCUAGACACGAGAGUGCAUGCAAAGGCAACCUUUCUUCUACAGGCCUUCCCUGGGGUUCAUGGAGAAAAGUGGGAACAGGUCA